rnacentral:rRNA from 1 species
GAUGAACGCUGGCGGCGUGCCUAAUACAUGCAAGUCGAGCGAACAGACGAGGAGCUUGCUCCUCUGACGUUAGCGGCGGACGGGUGAGUAACACGUGGAUAACCUACCUAUAAGACUGGGAUAACUUCGGGAAACCGGAGCUAAUACCGGAUAAUAUAUUGAACCGCAUGGUUCAAUAGUGAAAGACGGUUUUGCUGUCACUUAUAGAUGGAUCCGCGCCGCAUUAGCUAGUUGGUAAGGUAACGGCUUACCAAGGCAACGAUGCGUAGCCGACCUGAGAGGGUGAUCGGCCACACUGGAACUGAAACACGGUCCAGACUCCUACGGGAGGCAGCAGUAGGGAAUCUGCCGCAAUGGGCGAAAGCCUGACGGAGCAACGCCGCGUGAGUGAUGAAGGUCUUCGGAUCGUAAAACUCUGUUAUUAGGGAAGAACAAAUGUGUAAGUAACUAUGCACGUCUUGACGGUACCUAAUCAGAAAGCCACGGCUAACUACGUG